rnacentral:rRNA from 1 species
GACAGAGGUGCCAAGCGUUAGGCGGAAUCACUGGGCUUAAAGCGUGUGUAGGCGGAUCGUUAAGUACCUUGUGAAAUCCCACGGCUCAACCGUGGAACUGCUCGGUAUACUGGCGGUCUUGAGCCACCUAGGGGCAACUGGAACAAGCGGUGGAGCGGUGAAAUGCGUAGAUAUCAGGAAGAACACCCGUGGCUAAGGCGGUUCUCUAGUACGGUACUGACGCUGAGACGCGAAAGCGUGGGGAGCGAACAGG